rnacentral:misc_RNA from 1 species
UAGACAUAUAACAACUUCACCUCAAUAACGCCCAAAUCAACUAAUCACUGCAUUCAAUAAGUUGAUCAAUAGAACCAAAAAUGAACCAUUCCCUAUGGUUUGAUGGUACGACCCUUGUAUUGGCCUCGAUGGAUGACAAAGUCAUCAGGAGGUUGAAACUCUUCCAACCAAGUCACAUCUGUGAACAUCUCCCCAUCGAACUCGAGUUCACCUGGUAGAUCCCCUCGAGGAGACCUUCGGAAAUAAGUGCAAUGACGUCCAUCAUCAGAAGAGUAGGGUGGAGACAGGAUAUCGAAAAUUGCACAAGGGGUUAUAGCUUUGAAACAAUGAAUAUUCCCUCCAGCCGUCGGAUAGAGAGUAGUUGUUCCACAUGGAGCUGUCAUCUCACAAUCUUUAAAAAGUUUAGCUGGUCUUGCACCUUCGGGUGGAACUGAAGGCCCCGGACUAUCGAUCCAAUCAUAAGCUUUCACAUGUAAGGAACCAUAUAUAAGCUUGCUUAAAACGGUCAUCCCAGGGUGGUUAUGUAAAGGAAUGAUUGAAGAAGGUGGCAUGCAGAAUAUUCCCAUAGUGAAGCUCUCACAUUCAUGCAAGUGUAGGUAUUUGAUUGGCAGGAUUGGUCGUAAACCCCCAUUACGCUCAUGCAUGGUACCUUUCCAAGUCUUGACAAGUUGUGCCUCCUGCUCAAGACCUACAUCAGAAGGCUUGAUUUUGUCUAAGAGGGAACGGACUUUCUCAAGAGCAUCUUCUGAUAUGGGUCCAUUAGUAGAAAGUGAUGCUUUACAGGCGUUAUAAAGCUUUUGUACAGCUGGCAUGUUUAUCAAACCGACCACCUUUACCCUGACCGCCUAUGCAAACAAACUUGUCUUGUAGUUAACAGCUCGAAGUUUAACCCAAGAAAUCCUGUCUGAAGGGUCCUCUAUUUCUCAGAAGACCCUUCAAGUACAAAUCAGGCACAGGCUGGACUUUUAACACAAACAAAGGUGAUGAUCGUAUAUCACGUGGUGCUUAAUGGAUGCAGCUUUCUAUUAUCAUUGCCACCUACUUCGGCGAUGAAAUACAGAGAGAUCGCCCGGACGAGAGAGGAGAGAGAGCUG